rnacentral:rRNA from 1 species
AUUGAACGCUGGCGGCAUGCCUUACACAUGCAAGUCAAACGGUAACAGGUCUUCGGAUGCUGACGAGUGGCGAACGGGUGAGUAAUACAUCGGAACGUGCCCGAGAGUGGGGGAUAACGAGGCGAAAGCUUUGCUAAUACCGCAUACGAUCUCAGGAUGAAAGCAGGGGACCGCAAGGCCUUGCGCUCACGGAGCGGCCGGUGGCAGAUUGGGUAGUGGGUGGGAUAAAAGCUUACCAAGCCGACGAUCUGUAGCUGGUCUGAGUGGACGACCAGCCAGACUGGGACUGAGACACGGCCCAGACUCCUACGGGAGGCAGCAGUGGGGAAUUUUGGACAAUGGGCGCAAGCCUGAUCCAGCCAUGCCGCGUGCAGGAUGAAGGCCUUCGGGUUGUAAACUGCUUUUGUACGGAACGAAAAGACUCUGGUUAAUACCUGGGGUCCAUGACGGUACCGUAAGAAUAAGCACCGGCUAACUACGUGCCAGCAGCCGCCGUAACAC